CUUGAACUUCCACCGCAGAAACGAGCCCAUUCCUGUUUCCAUCUGCCAGGAGGCAGCUGUCCCCAGCACAAGUGGAGAAAUUCUCAUUCUUUAGCCAAAACGAGGAGGCAAAGAGUCCCUGCGAUUACUGUUUGGACUACAUUCCUUCCUCCUGAAAUUCAGCCAUGGAGGCUCUGGGGUUCAGUUAAAUUGCAAAGUUAGCCUCCAGCAGCCUGAAGAUCAGAUCGCGGGAUGGAGACAAUCAGAUGUGUGUACAGGUCAGGUGCAGGGAGAGUACAUCCGGAGCCCCCACGGCCUUCUUUUUUGGAACGAUCACAGGGCAAAGCUGAUAUUGUGACUCCCCUCCUCUGCUCCCCUUGAUGUGUUUCCUUUGACUUCAGCCACAGCCUCGGCAGCAGGGCUCACUGUGGGGAGGAAACCCAGUGGUCAUUCCUUAAAGGACUGUGUCCUCAGGAACAGGUCUGUGUCCUUCCUUCAGGAACUUUUACUGUGGAACAGAGAAGAAUUUAGAGGUUCCCAGCGAAUGAGCUGGGUCCCAGGCAGAGCCCUCUUGGCCCCUAGUUGUGCCGUGAUCCACCCAUUUCC
rnacentral:lncRNA from 1 species